UGGGGGAGUAUUGCACAAUGGGGGGAAACCCGUGAUGCAGCGACGUCGCGUGAGGGAAGACGGUUUUCGGAUUGUAAACCUCUGGCUUUGGGGACGAAACAAAUGACGGUACCCAAGGAGGAAGCUCCGGCUAACUACGUGCCAGCAGCCGCGGUAAUACGUAGGGAGCGAGCGUUGUCCGGAAUUACUGGGUGUAAAGGGAGCGUAGGCGGGUGAUCAAGUCAAGUGUUAAACCUAUCGGCUCAAACCGAUAGUUGCGCUUGAAACUGGUCAUCUUGAGUGGAGUAGAGGCAGGCGGAAUUCCUAGUGUAGCGGUGAAAUGCGUAGAUAUUAGGAGGAACACCAGUGGCGAAGGCGGCCUGCUGGGCUCUAACUGACGCUGAGGCUCGAAAGCAUGGGGAGCAAACAGGAUUAGAUACCCUGGUAGU
rnacentral:rRNA from 1 species